CCAUUGAAAACCAUUGAUAGGAGGUAAGGACACAGAAGCCCAGGGAAUAUAAGUAACCUCCCAAAAAUCGCACAGCAGAUCCAACUAGCACAAUGUCAAUGAUGAAAUGGACCAGUGUCAUAUUCUGCGGGAUAUCAAGGCAAUCAAGAUCAUCUUGGACUGUAUUGUGACAGAGGGCCAGGGAGUGAACAGAGCCCUUAUAAUGACAGAUCUCAUAUAUCGCAGCAACAAAGAUGGCCCCCAGGAGUUCCAUGGACCCUUAUUUCUCAUCAUUUAGAAGGAGAAAGCACCUCUUUCCUCAGUUCCUCUCUUCAGGACUCCCAGUACCCCUGCUUCUGGUGACAGCCCAUGGCAGGUGGGGAGGACGUGCAGAUGGAAAGAAUGAGAAGGGCAGGUUUGGGCCCUCAUGGGUGACAGAAAAGUACCAGAGUUCUGGUUCCUCUUUGAACACACAUGUUCUCUGGGUUUCGCCUUGCAGCCCAAGAAGAGAGGAGGCUUGGAAUCACCACACUUCCCACAGCAAGGGCAAUCUUUAAAGGCAGUAAGGUGUGACGCUCCAGACUGGCAGCUUGGCAAGACAGAGCCCAUGGAUACCAGCACACGGGAAUCUGGACGGCUCACUCUGACAGCAGUCAGCACUGGGAACAAAAGGAAUGGAGGGAAAAAAGCGCAAAUGUAUUUUUACAUAUUGUAGGCAUAUGGCCACAAGACCAGCAGAAAUAUAUUUAAUUACCAAUUGCACGCAUUGAGGAGAAAAACACUGGAAAUGGGGGAAAAACUGUAUACACAGCAAUAUUAUUCUAAUUUAACUUUUCACCUCAGUUUUUUUUUUCUUUCUUUAAUUGAAAAUGGAAGGGAAUGUGGGUUGGAAUCGCAAAGGGUUAUCUUCUGGAAUUCUAUCAAAGGUGAUGUGGGAUUUUGACAUGCCUUCUUUAACAGCAUAACAUUAUAGAAAGAAAUAGGAAAGUUUUCUUUUAGUUAUUUUAAUUAUGAAAUAAUUUGACCAAGGCGUUUUGGGGGAGUGGGGCAGACCGGAUUUGAAAUAUAACAGUUAGACAAUCUUACUGUCAUGUUAAAACUGUACUUUUGAUGUUACACAUUAGGCCUCAACAAUUAAUAACCUAAUCUUGAAAAAUUAUAUUCUUGUUCUUUUCUAUGAAAGCAGAAUACUUCAACCCCAUUUAUUGUCAGGUAUUGUCCUAGCCAGUGGAGGUACAGAGGUGAAUCAGAUGUCAUCCCUGCACUGAAGAAGCAUAGCCUAGGCUGGGAGACAAAUACACAUAUAUAUAAUUAUAAUGUUAUACCAUUAAAUUAUUAAAUAUGUGAAAAUUAUCAUUAGCUAAAAUCACAAUUAUAAUACACAUAAUACCAUCUAUAUAAGGCAAUGAUGUAGCUAUAUGAAUCCAGGGGCCAUAGAGGAUUGACUCUUAGUUCAGUCUGGGUGUCAGUCACACUGGAGGACCAGGGAGGAGACCUCUUCCAGGAAAAGCUGAUGAAAAGGAUCAGUGAGAAAAAGCCCGGGAAGAAGGCAGUUGCAUUUUGCAGAAUGAAGGAGUUUGGGCCAGUGUGAGCCAGCUCCCUUCCUAGGGUGCCGGCUCAGGGAGUCAGGUAAUGGGGCCAGGGAAACGUGUGCCCACUGACUUGGGAAAGAGAGAGGGGCCCAUACCUCCUUCUUGGCAGGAAAGAAAAUCACAGCCCCGAAAAAGUAACUUGCCAGGAGCCCCCUUCUUUGUAGCAUUCCUAUCACUGACUUCCUGUUAGCCUGGGUCUCCUGUUCUCACCCUGCUCUUUGAAAUCCUUGGUGGCCAGUGCCGGCUAUGUAGGUGACCUGUGCUCCCUGGUCCCAUGGAGGUUCUGCCCAGCUGACCAGCCUUGCAGUCUGUUUCUGCAGCCCAGAUAAUGGUUCAGAGGCAUGUUAAUGUGUGCUUUGCUUUAUGUAGCAAAUAUCAUCUUGAAAAGUUUUUUUGUACAUUUACUUUUUUUUUGUAAAGCGACCUACAUAAUAAAAGCACUAGGGGAGCUGGUUAUUUAAAGGAACCCUGUAGUGAAUCUUUUCAUAAUGUAGAAGCCAUUCCUUAAUUAAUCUUUGUUUUUCAUCAGACAUACCUGUGCCUCUGUGGCUUUUCUUUUUUUUUUUUUCUAAGAGGAAGCGGCCUAGGCUAUAGUGCCAAGUGCGUGAGACUGAGGGCCAGGGCUUCCAGAGCGCAUGCUGAGCUGUUGCUGGCUGCCACUGGGUUGAGGAUGUGAGCAUAACCUUGGGGUCAGUUCUAUCUUCUGACAAAGGCACAAUCAAAUGGGCUUAGGUUCAAAUCCGGGUUUUACCAUCCAUCGACUUCAUUUGGCAAUUCACUUGUUUCCUUGAAUGUUAGUUCUUUACCCAUGUACUGGGUGGUUACAUACGUCAAAUCAAAAAGUUUCUCCGAGGGCCUGGCAUCAUAGCUAUGACUAAGGGUUUGCUUGCCCCCACUCCAAUUCUACUCUGCUCCACUCUGCAACAGCCCCUUGGAGCAAGAGCCACAGCUGGACUUGUUGGGAGGAAAUACUUGUUAACUUGGGACCUCCCUGCAACUGUUUCCUCAGAGGAGAGGAAAUGCCCACUCUACUCCCCAGGAGGAAGGUGGAUAAAAGACAAUAUUUUAGACUAUUCUUUACCCCUGGUUACCCAUGGUAAAAAGUGAUUGAUCUUAAUAGUAAAGUUUCAGAUACAGCCAUCUUGGGCAGGUCUGUACAUUCAAGUAUGGUAGUAUGGGCUGCCCUCCCCCACCGCCACACCCUCAGACAGGCCCAUAUGUUUUAAAUUGAUCCAAAUCUGCUCUUUUUUUCCAUAUCUGAGCCCACCCCUGUGGCUCUUCAGGAGCUUUUGGUCUGAGCAAGGGUCCCACAGCCUCCCCUGAUCCUGUUUCAUCAGUUAUAAACCUGUUGGAACAUUGUGUCUGCUCAGCUUGCUAGAACUUUUUACCUCCCUAUCCUCUAGCUGCUGGGGAGGGCAGACACCUGCUUGGCACCACACAUGCUUUCCGGUCAUCUGGUCACCUGUGGGCCUGCAGCUAGGGUGGUGGUUGUGGCUGGAGCUUAGAGCCACAUCCAGUGAGGGUCACAGAGCUCCUCAGAGAAGUGCUGGGAGUGAGACUCCAACCCGCCCCAGCACUGAGGUGGGGUUGAGGGAUGUGGCUGAAUGACCAAGGGGAUGGCCAUAGACUCUAUCCAGGAAGAGAAAUCCCAAGGGCAGGCAGGUUAACCUGUCCCCACAAACUCAUGUCCAGGCCCUGGGGUUCCCAACCCUGACUGAUGAGAACCGACAGCUAUACCCUUUUGGUUGGCAUUUCUGAGAAUUGCGUGGACAAUUCUCUUCUCUUUUCUUACUGAAGGAAGGACAGAUAUAGAGGUGGUUCUAACUCUGGUGCUGGUAUAUUUGUGACUAUCACUGGGAUCAUAUUACCAGAGUAAGUUUGACCAAUUUGGAGAAUUGGCCUUGGAGAGGUCAACACUUAAGAGAAAGGCCAAGGCCAUGGCCUGGCUCAAAUGGAUCCCAUUUCUUGCACAUGAGUUACACUGACUCAGUUAUUGGAGAGCCCUCUUGUGCUUGGGUAGGAAUUUGAAAUGUUGAAGUAGUCAUGGGUUAGGGACCUGCUGCUAAUGACCCUCCUGUAACCCAAACUUAAGAUACUUCUGGAAAAUAGACUACAUCAGAAGACUUCUAAGGUCCCUCAUUCACUCAUUCAUCUAUUCUUUUAUCUGGGAUUUAUCAGGGACCUACCAUGUACCAGGUUCUAUACCACCUGUUGGAGAAACAAUGGUGAAUGAGUCCCUGCACUUCCAAGGCUUGCAGUCCAGUAGUAGAGAGGCAAGUGAAGACAAUUAACUCGGUAUGAGAAGCACAAAAGAUAGAUAGGGGAGCACAGACCAGGGACAGCACACCCAGUUUAGAGGGACUGGGAAACAUUUCUGGAGAAAAUGAUCAGUAAUGUUAGGUGUUUUUGUCCAGGAAAGGCUGAGGGGGGUGACAACACCCUUCCAAGAAGGCUUGCACUGUGAACAACACUGAAGUGACUUGCCCAGGGGCACUCUAUAAGUAGCAGAGCCUGGAUUGUUCAAAAGUGAAACCCUACGUUCUUAGUCACGUUGCUCCACUGUCAAUAUUGAAAUGAUUAUUCAAGAGGCCCAACUAUUGAUUAUAAACAAUAGUGCAUUGCAGAUCUGGCUGCUUUCUUGGCCAUGUGGGGCUUUGAGCUCUAGCCCCUAAAUCAGCAGAGAAAACACAAUCCAGCCACAGAUGGUGGCUCACACCUGUAAUCCUAGCACUUUGGGAGGCUAAGGCGGGUGGAUCACCUGAGGUCAGGAGUUCGACACCAGCCUGGCCAACAUGGUGAAACCCGUCUCUACUAAAAAUACAAAAAAAUUAGCUGAGCGUUGUGGCAGGCACCUGUAAGUCUCAGCUACUUGGGAGGCUGAGGCAGGAGAAUCGCUUGAACCCAAGAGACAGAAGUUGAAGUGAGCAGAGAUUGCACCACUGCACUCUAGUCUGGGUGACAGAGUGAGACUCUGAAAAAAAAAAGAAGGAAGAAAGGAAGGAAGGGAGAAAGGAAAGAGAGAAAAGAAAGAAAGAAAAAGAAAGAGGGAAGAAAGAAAAAGAAAGGAAAGAAAAAGAAAGAAAAGAAAAAGAAAGAAAAAAGAAAGAAAAAGAAAGAAAGAAAAAGAAAGGAAGAAAGAAAGGAAGAAGAGAAGAAAGGAAGAAAGAAAGGAAAGAAAGAAAGAAAGAAAGAAAGAAAGAAAGAAAGAAAGAAAGAAAAAGAAAGAAAGAAAGAGAAAGAAAGAAAAAGAAAACACAAUCCAAACUAUUGAGUAGUCAGGGGAGUUAGGCAGGAACAAUACCGAUGUUGUCUGGACCCUGAAUAACAUAUUCCAAACAACUUUCUCAUUGCCUAAGUAAGUCGAAAGUACUGUUUUGCAAUUUGGUUGCAGUGUGCAAGUUUGGUUGAUUUCAUGUGUCUUAAAGAAUUAUGCUCUGUAGACACCAUGUGAUUACUUUUUAAAGUGAAGUGAAGUAAGAGUGAUACUUAAUAUCACAGUAUUAGGGCAAUGCCUUUAUAAAUUAGAUGCCUACUUUAAAAUUUAUAAAAUUGUGGCACCAAAUAUAUGUACAGUCAACCUGCUGUAUCUGGAGGUUCCACGUCUGUGGAUUCAACUAAUCAUGGAUUGAAAACAUUUUUACAAGAUGGCUGGUCAUGUCUGUCCUGAACAUGUAUGAAAUUUUUUAUUGUUAUUCCCUAAACAAUAUAGUAUAGCAACUAUUUACAUAACAUUUACACUGUAUUAGGCAUUACAAAUAAUUUAGAGAUGAUUUAAAGUAUACAGGAGGUUGUGCAUAGGUUGUAUGCAAAUACCAUGCCAUUAUACAUGAGAGACUUAAGCAUCUGUGGAGUUUGAUAUUAGCAGUAGGUCCUGGAAUCAAUCCUCCAGUGAUACUAAGGGAUAACUGUAUAUUCAUAUUCUGUCUCCUGGAAAGAUAUAAAAUGUCUCACAACAAAAGUAAUUUUUUUUAAAAAUUAAGAUUCAAGGAAGUAACACUAGGAAGUUCAAUUUGAAUGGAAUAUACAUAAAAUUUAUUUCUGGGUUCCCUGGGAGCCAAAGCAAAAAGGGAAACAUGAAAAAAAUGCAUAAUUUUUUUUUAUCAAAAAGGAGAAAGCAGAUUCACUCCCCCUGGAAAAAAAAGUGUUUGCAAAGACAAAAAUUCUAAAAAUAGUAAUUUAACAUAGACUUAACCUUUGGAAGAAAGAAGAAACAAUUCAAGGUGUUUGUAAUGUAAUGGAUUAUCAUAUAAUCAAGAACUAUGAUGAAAUAGAGAACACUCUUUCCUUUAAACCUAGAACAGAGAAAGAAUUCCUAUCAGAGAACUAUUAAUGGAAAGUCAGAACCACUAGGCUCUGAUGUGCAGAUCUAGGUUCAAAAUGCAGCGCUUAUUUAUCUAUUUAGUUAUGUGUUUAUGAGGCAACUAUUUGUUGAUUACCUAGUCUGUGCCAUUCAUGUUUCUAGGGCUGUGAUGGAGUGAUGAAAAAGAAAAAGUCCCUGCUCAUAAUUCACAUAAUGACUCCAGCACAUUAAUAUAAAAUUUUACAGUUUUAAUUGUCACAUGAUGUGUGAUGGAUGAAUUAUGAGUUAAUCAACUUACAUGAUACUUUAUGGUUUGCAAAAUGUUUUCACACAUCAUUACAACCCAAAUCUCCUUGCAGAAGCAUGGGGACAUUCUAGACAUAGCUCAACAUUCAAAUUUGGACUAAUGCUCCUGGUUAAGGAGUCUUGAUAUAUCAUGAAAGUAUUGGUUGUGCUUAUAUUUUUCCAUUAAAAAGGAUAUGCUUAAGAGCCCAUUUCAGUAAUUAGGAAGAAAGUUAGCUAGCAAAUGCCACAAGAGACUUUAACAUACCUUGAUGUGCUUAAGAGUUGAACAUUGCACUCAGUGACACUUAGUUUAAUGAAUAUCACAAUUUUCUUCACAUCCCAUGAAGCAUUGCAGGACUUUUGGCAAAAUGUGAGGUCCUUCUGCUAGGCACAGCUAGGAAAUACUAAUAACUGUUAAAUGAGAACCUCUUGUUCCUAUCUUAAGGCAAUGACAUCAUUCAUAUGGUUCACUCAGCCUCUCAGGCCUUUUAUUCUCCUCCUUCAGCAUGCCUAUUGCAUACAAUAGGUAAAGAAUUCUCCUUCUUUUCCAGUUAAUUAACCCACCUGCUAAUAAUACUCUUCUGUCCUUGAUUGAUUCAGAGCAACCUCCAGCUGUCAGCCUCCUAUCUAGUCAGAAGCUUUUGAUGAUGAAAAUGGAGUCCAUAAGAAAGAAAUGGGCUACAAAUAUUAAGUGCAGGCAGGCAAGGUGCAAGUAGGGUGAUAUCUUAUCCCAGUUUGCCCAGAAUUUUAUGCUUUUAGUGCUGAAGAUCCCAAGUCCUGGGAACCCACUAAAUAGGACUAGGAAUUGUUCCCCUAAGUGCAGGGAAUCAUCUCUAUAGUCAAACAGCAACAAAUGAGUAAACAUGAGGGGGCAGGUAACAGCAGAUGUUUUAGUUUGGAUUCCUCCAAUAGCAGGCUCUAAGUCUAGGAUUCCAUGCAAGUGGUUUACUGGGAGAUGAUCCUAGGAAACAGUGGUAGGGGAGAAGAGAAAUGAGAUAGGAAAGCAAUUGCCACUGUGGGCAUCUGGAACCUAUUCCUACUGAGAAACACUGAGAGUAGUGCAAUACAUGUGCCUUUGAGCCAUGCUGCCUGAGGGGAAUUGGAGUUGGGGUAACUACCAGUUGUUAGUUGAAGUCUGUUCUUAGUGGUGGAGGCGGAGUUUGCUAAUUGUGCCUGCUGAGCCUAUGGGCAGAGUGGACCUCAAUUUUCCGAGAAAGUUCUCCAACCAAAAGAUGCAGAUGCUGCAGGUAGAAGCUGUGCUAUAUUGCACACUGAAAUGGUAAGGUAGGACAGUGAUGAUGCUGUUACAAUGGGUCUACAUUGUUUUCCAGGUCAACUCAUUCUACAGCACUGACUGGCUAACUCUUCCCUGUGUGGACACAGCUUCUUUGGUAAUAUAAGAAAAAAACAUGUGUGCUAGAUAUGGGGGAGAGUAAGGAUUUGAGUGGAUAUUUGAAAGGCAGAUGAGUUUGAUGCCUUGGAAUCAUGCCUAAUAUAUGUUCUUUUCAUUCGUGAUUAUCAUAUAGCCAAACUAUAGAUAUGUGGGAUUAGUAGUCUCCAAUAAGGCCACUUCCAAGUAGUCUUCCAAGUAGCCUUCAAUCAUACCACUUCAGGCAUUAAUUCUAUUAGUCUGAAUGAUUUGGGCAGAUGAGACUUUUGAACACCACUUGGUCUUACCAUGGCUUAUGAGGCCUCAUUAUCAUAAAAAGUAGACUUGUUCUUUCACUUAUAUCUUUCUCUGAGCCAUUAUAAACCAUUUUAUUAUUUCUGUCUUUGAGCUGAACAAAGUUGUCUCUCAGGUCUCCUAUAGAAAUAUCUAGAACAUGACCUCCUUCUGAAGUUUGUAAUGUAUUCAGAGUGGAAUGCGAUGGUAAGCUGUGCACCUGGGUAUACAAGCAAGGUACUUGGAGUUGAUGGGUGAGCUACAUUCAGCCUCAUUCAGCCCUGAAGACCAAGAUUGUUCAUCUUCCAGCUGACCUGACAAGCACCUCUGCCAAAUAGAGAUUAUUGAAUCUGGAUAGACGCUGAAGAGUCAAUCAGAUUGUUGUUCAAGGAGUUUAGCAAAGACAAUUGGUGAACAGAAGCCAUAUGUAAUUAAAAGCCUCACUGUAGGGAGAGACCAGUGUGAGAAUUGCUUGGUUGUGGUGGAGAGAUCUUAGGCACAAAUGCAGAGCAGUUGUGUGGAGCUGUGGUCAUGACAGACGGUCUUUGGAAUGAGAAGCAAUGUUUCCCUGCCAUGGAGAGGAAAAGGAAACCAGGUGGCUCAACCUGGCUUGUGUCUUAAAAGUCAACCCAGCAUCUAUGAGUCUGCCUCUGAAGCUAUUGGGACACUCUUCUGUAUUCUUCAGUUCCCACGUGCAGCCUUAUGAGAAAUAGUUAAUUGUCUCCACCAACCCGAAAUAACCCAACUAACGUAUCUUUUAAGUAUUUGAAAUCACCACUCACCUGUCUCUGACUUAGGCUAAACAAUUUUAAUUCCAUUAUUUUUUAUUUUUACCAUUUAAACAUUAGUUUAAUUUUAAUUUUUUUUUUUCGGAGAUGGGGUCUUACUCUGUCGCCCAGGGCUGGAGUGCAGUUGCACAUGGCUCACUGCAGCCUCAACCUCCUGUGUUUAAGCGAUCCUCCCUACCUCUAGCCUCCUGAGAAGCUGGGACCACAGGCAUGUGCCAGCAUGCCCUGCUAAUUUUUACUUUUUUAUUUUUGUAGAGAUGCAGCCUCCUUAUGUUGCCCAGGGCUGGUCUCAAACUCCUGGGCUCAAGUGAUUCUCCUGCCUCGGCCUCCCAAAGUGCUGGGAUUAUAGGCAUGAGCCACUGCACCUGGCCUUAUUUUGAAUUUGAAGACUUAUACAUUCAAUUCAGCCUCUUCAAGUCCUCCUACCUAGGAGGCACUGGGGAGUAGACUAGCAUGAGAUAUGAGACUUAGGGUCAGAAAUACAUAGAUUCCAAGCUUGGCCCAGCAGUCCACUUUAAAUGUGCAUAUGGGCAAGCUACUUAACUUCUCUGAAGCUUAAAUGAGAAUUAUAUUUAUAAUUAACAAUAUUAUUAUUACCCCCACAAAAAAUAAGAUACGUGAAAAUCUUUUUCUCUACCCUUCCUUGCCCUCAGAUAUAUUCUAUGAAAGACUGAGAUUUGUUAUCUUAUAAAAUAGAAUCUAAUAAAGAAAAUAAAAGAGUAGGAAUUAAAAACAUGAUAAAUGGAGAAUAAUAAGUGAAGAAAGCCAAUAUUAUUUGAGCUACAAACUUAAUAGUGAGCUUCUUGGAAAUGAACAAAAGCAAAAUGCAAUAGUCACAUCCUACUCUAAUAAAAUGAAAUAUAAAAUUUUAUAAAGUAAGAAAUAUGAUUUUUAGUUUACCUGUAAUGUGAAUUGUUACAUUGGUUCUGUUUUAAGAGACAUUGAAACAGACAGCAGAAAUUUUAUAGUAGACAGAGAAAGGACCUCUGUAUCCUAUUUCUUUUAUUAACUGCAAAUUAAAAGCUAUGCAUGUAGAGUUGUGUUGGAGGUUUCUUGAAGGUAUUUUCAUAGACAGAUGAGAGAAGAUAUAGCCAAGGUAGCCAAGACAUGUUUUUUCUUUUCUUUUCUUUUCUUUUUUCUUUUUUCUUUUUGGGCGACAGGUUCUCACUCUGUUGCCCAGGCUGGAGUGCAGUGGCGCGAUCAUAGCUCACUGCAGCCUCAACAUCCUGAGCUCAAGCCAUCUUCCCAUGCAAGCCCCCCAGUAGCUGGGACUACAGGCAUGUGCCAGCACACCUGGCUAAUUUUUUAUUUUUAGUUUUUGUAGAGACGAGGUCUCACUACGUUGCCCAAGCUAGUCGUGAACUCCUGGACUCAAGGGAUCCUCCCACCUCAGUCUCCCAAAGUGUUGGAAUUACAGGCAUGAGCCACUUCCUGGCCAAGGCAUGUGUUUUCUAAUAAAAGUGAAUAAAUGUAGCAACACAGCAUGAAGGAUCUAGAGUAAUUGUUUAUGUCCUUUCUCUGUUUUCAAAUAUGAAUUGCCUUGGUUUAUUUUCAUAUUGCACUAGCUUCCUAACUGGUCUCCUUGCUGCAAUCUUGCAUGCCGUGAGUCUUUUCUCUAUGAGGCAGCCAGGACAAUAUUUCUAUUUUGUUGUGUCACUUGCUGGUUUUAAGCUAUUUCUACGGUCCACUCCUAAAUUCUUGAAGUUUUUCAGAUAUGCCAUGUAGUUCCCCCUUUGCACAUUCUCCUUUUCCUGGAAUACCAUCGCUAUUGUCAACUAGAUUGCCAGGUUAAUAUAAUCCUUUGGAAGUCAGAUCAGACAUCGCUACUUCUAGAAAAACUUAACCACCCCAACCUUGUCUGAAUUUGUUUCCUCUCCUCUGUGUUCUUAAGCAUUCUACUACACAGUAUUGUUAUUUUGUAUUUACCUGUCUAUAAGUCAGAGGCACCAUUGUCAGAUCUUCAUCAAGCCUUCUGUGUUGGCAGAGUCCUGUUAUAUAGGAGGGGCUUAAUACAUAUUUCUUAAGUGAGCGAAUGACUUAGUAGGAGCUGGCUUUCAAACCAAUAGUCAAUGUCAUGUUAAUAACCAAUGAACAUUUUCCCAAAGUAUGUUUCAGAAAACACUGCUUCUGAGAAAUAUUAUAGGUGUCCUGGACAGAACACUUCCAUAGUUAAGGAAGUAGAAAAUGCUGCAUGUUCUAUCUCUCCAAAAAGUCGCUAUUUUCAUUAGAAUAUUAAAGGCUCUGGCAUGUUUUUCAAUUAAUAAACUUAUUUACUAUAUAUUUUUCUUACUUUUGUGUGUGUGUGAUUGUGUAGUACCUGUUGGAACUAAUUACUUACGACAAAAACAGCUUGAAAAACCUUGCUCUGCAGGCUUUACUUAAAAUUCGGAAAUCAGAUCAAGCACUGUAGCUCAAGUGCCUGUAAUCCCAGCACUUUAGGGGGCCAAGGUGAGAGGAUCACUUGAGGCCAGGAGCUUGAGACCAGC
rnacentral:lncRNA from 1 species